UUUGCACUGCUGUAAUUUAGAUCAGAAUCUGGAUGUGUAUGUAAAUGCGUGCAUGUAUGCACACAUGCAGCAACUGCUCUCUUAGGUAUCUCCGUAGACCUUCAUUUUACAAUGAAAAAUGAAUGGGAGGGUGAAUCUACACGUUGAUUAUUUUUAUGCUGAACAAUUUGAGUGUCACUGAGAUGAAGCAGGUAAAUACUUUCAGGCUGUGGAUGGAUUUUGGAGUUGUGCAUGUACACACCCCCCUUUUCAAUACAUUUUGGCUGUUGGUGCUGGGCAGCAACUCCUCUGUCCACCUGACACAACGCUGGGUUUCCUGCGUGCCUUAAGUCUCCUUUUUAUUUCACCUCAGGGAAAAUGGAGGCGGGGGUGUGAAAGAAAGAGAGGAAGAAAGAAAGAACAAGGGGGGGGCCUGGAGGGGCUUAAAGGCAGGCCCCAUCCCAGCAGCCCUCCCACCCCCCGCGUCUCCAUCGCCAGCCCCAAGCCGGAACGCAUUUGAGCAGAGCUGCCCCGGCUCUAUCAUCUGCAGCGUGCAGAGUCAUCACGGCCGCAGUGCAUAGCUGAGAGCCGGAAAGCAAACAGCUGCUGUAGCCUGAUUUGAGUUAAAAUAGUGUCAGUGUUUAGUCUGGCGCACUGCUUCAGGAGAGAUUGGCAGCUGGGUCAAACAAAGUCAUUCCAUUGGCUCCCUUCCCAGCCAGCUUCUGCUAGUAUUUAGGUACUAGUGCAGCCUAGGCCCCUUUUCUCAGGGAUAGCCUAACAUCUGACCGCACCCUCCUUGCUGUUUAAAAAAUGCCUUUUCACUCUUUAAGAUAAAUCCACUAUUAGACAAUCUGCCACUAAUAGUGCAGUAAGGCUGUUUUUCUCCCAAAAGCCGACGCAUCCCGCUCCCGCCGCGGUGCAGAAAGCAGGCUGUUACAGUGCCGGAUUCAUAAAAGGGGCCUUUAUGGCUGGUGAAAGAAUAUCUGUGUGCUUAGGCCGGAAACUUUUUGAUCCAGUGCAAAGCCAGACGACACCUAGAGUAAGAGAAGCCAACUUUAGGAGCAUGCUCAUACCCUCAGUGGUAGAGUCUACCUACUGUGUCCCCAAUGUUGGCAGACAGCAAGCAGAAAUUAAUGGUCAUUUAUUGGAAUCCUUUGACUUCAUGAUAUGGUGA
rnacentral:lncRNA from 1 species